GACGUAGGGCGCGAGCGUUGUCCGGAUUUAUUGGGCGUAAAGAGCUCGUAGGCGGCUUGUCGCGUCGUUCGUGAAAACCUGCAGCUCAACUGCAGGCUUGCGGUCGAUACGGGCAGGCUAGAGUUCGGUAGGGGCAGAUGGAAUUCCCGGUGUAGCGGUGGAAUGCGUAGAGAUCGGGAAGAAUACCAGUGGCGAAGGCGUUCUGCUGGGCCGUUGCUGACACUGAGGCGCGACAGCGUGGGGGAGCAAACAGG
rnacentral:rRNA from 1 species